UACGUAGGGUGCGAGCGUUUAAUCGGAAUUACUGGGCGUAAAGCGUGCGCAGGCGGUUCGUUGUGUCGGUGGUGAAAGCCCCCGGGCUUAACCUGGGGAAUGGCCAUGGAAACUGGCGAACUGGAGUGUGGCAGAGGGGGGGUGGAAUUCCGCGUGUAGCAGUGAAAUGCGUAGAGAUGCGGAGGAACACCGAUGGCGAAGGCAGCCCCCUGGGCCAAUACUGACGGCCUCAGGCACGAAAGCGUGGGGAGCAAACAGG
rnacentral:rRNA from 1 species